AUGGCAACUCCAACAUCAGCAUGGUCCCUCUCAUAUCAGUCAUUAAUCAAGAAAAUGGCUCCCAGAGUCUUGCCUGCAUACCAAUAUGAUGGAGGUGUCCAGUGUGAGGUGCAUUUGCUGGAGUCUGGGGGAUGCUUAGUGCAGCCUGGAAAGUCCCUGAAACUCUCCUGUGCAGCCUCGGGAUUCCCAGUCAGUAACUACUGGAUGAAUUGGGUCCGCCAGGCUCCAGGGAAGGGGCUGGAAUGGGUCGCAAAAAUUAAUCAAGGUGGUGGUACCACCAGGUAUACCAAUGCUGUGAAGGGCCGGUUCACAAUCUCCAGGAACAAUGCCAAGAACACUUUGUACCUGGAAAUGAACAAUCUGAGGUCAGAGGACACAGCCAUGUAUUACUGUGCCAACAGACACAGUGAGUGA